rnacentral:lncRNA from 1 species
GUAGAUCCUAAUGUUGCUCUCCCUGGAGCUGGGCUGCAGGAAGUCUGGGCCCCCGGCUCGCACUCCCGGACCCCGCACCAACCUCCAGGGUCGCUCUCCAAUCUUAACCAGGUUUGCUCCCUGAGCGUACCCAGGUGCUACAGCAUCAGCUUCCCUUGCCGCUUCCUGCGGCUGAAGGGAUGGUCCGACCAAAGCCUCCUGCCCUGGGGCAGCCGAUGCCACUGCAUGCUUUUUCCUGCGCUUGGGCUUCACGGUGCCACGGAUAUUGGCCGGCUUGCUGCGCUUGGAGCGUAGGGUAAUGUACACCACAUUGGGCUGCAGAGUGGACCCAUUGCCCUGGGACUCUGGAGGGGCCAGGGUACCAUCCAGGGGUAUCUCAGGGAAGGAUGGCUCGGCGGUGUCGCGGCUGCGAUGUGGCCCCUUCUCAGCCGCCUGUCCAUGCUGGAGAGAGGCCCUCCCCACCUGGCUCACCAGGAAGCCCAAGUAGAUGGCACACGCAGUGCCCAGCAGAAGGUUUCUCCGGGUCCUUGGACGCCGGCUGCUCCAGAGCUUACGCACCCGCGGGACGCACAGGGAGCAGAUGAACCAGUUUAUGAGCUGCCCCGGCUUGUCUGGACAGGUCAUUUCUCUGCCGCAUCCACAUGUUGAACGGAGUUUAAAGUCUGCAGUUGGCUCCUGCUAAUGUGAUGCAUGGUUUCCUGACUUCAGCUGCCGCGUCCGCUUCGGGAUUAGGAAAAGUGCUUUUGGAGAAAAUCACCUGUCUCCUCAGAACUGGUCUUACAAGUCUGUGAAGUAACACUAUGUGCCAGCCUAAUCACUCAUAUAUGACCUCAAGAGAACACCAAAUAAGCAUAUUUCCAGCAG